AUCGGAAUUGGAACAAUAAAAGGGAAGGAACCAUGGUCCACGAGCAUACAUUUUUCUAGUAACGGCAGAAUGUGAUGCGUAGAACACCCCUAGUCAACCCCUUCCCCCAAUCAUUCAUGUGGUAUGGUGGUCCGACGGCGAUGAGAUGCAGUUAGCAGUUCAGCUUUAUGAAUUUUAAAAAUAAAAAAGUUCAAAGUUCGCUACACACGCCCAUCAAAUAUAACCAACUGACAACGAAAAAACAACUAACGAACCCAAAAAUCACGCGGAUUGGAUGGAUCUACUGAAAAGGACGUUUUGAUGGUUGAUUUAAAUUUAUGUGAUUUAUCUUCGAUUUCAAUCACAACCAGUAGUCAGUACCUACAAUGUUAAUCUGGAAAAUGGAUUUAAGACCAUCAAAUUAAAUUAAUAAAUUAUCAGACAUCAUUUAUACAAGCAGUGACUAUUCCGAGAUUUAUGAAGCACAAAACUACAUUUAAUUGGAGACAAAAUAUUAAAAUAAGAGCAAAUAACUUUUUAAAAUAUGGUCUGAAGGAUGAAACGGAUUGUUCACUUUUGAAAGGAGUCAAUAAGAUAAGUCAUUUAGUAUGCCAUAUGGAAAAUAAAUAUUUAAAGAAAGUAGAAUAAUACAUCAUCCUCACUAAUAAUGAUGCAUUUCAUAAGAUUCAAGUAUACUAGAAGUCUGUAACAUUAAAUGGAAAUCUGCUCAAUCCAAAUGCUCAAGCGAAGUUCAUUAGAGAAUCAAGUAGAAUCUGAAAUGUAUAAAACCUAAGUAGCACAAUUAAAAAAAAAUAAAAAAUUAACCAUUUAGAAUACACAUAAUACAAUACAAUUUAUAAUAUAUAUAUAUAUAUAUUUUUUUUUGUAAGUUUAAGUAUGCAUUUUUAGCUAUUAGUUAUAACUAAGUAUCAGUAAGAGUGAAUAAACCUUGAAUUCUGUUACAAUCAAUAUUUACUGUACAUCUGAUUAAAACAAUUUAACUGUAAGGAUUAUAGGUAAGCACAGCUACGAAACGUAAUAAAUUUCCUUAUGUAACAUUUAAAAAAGCACAACUUCAAUAAAAUAUUAAUAACAUCAAAAUAAAACAUACAGUAUCAGCAAA
rnacentral:lncRNA from 1 species